rnacentral:rRNA from 1 species
AUCAUGAGUUCACAUGUCCGCAUGAUUAAAGGUAUUUUCCGGUAGACGAUGGGGAUGCGUUCCAUUAGAUAGUAGGCGGGGUAACGGCCCACCUAGUCAACGAUGGAUAGGGGUUCUGAGAGGAAGGUCCCCCACAUUGGAACUGAGACACGGUCCAAACUCCUACGGGAGGCAGCAGUGAGGAAUAUUGGUCAAUGGGCGAUGGCCUGAACCAGCCAAGUAGCGUGAAGGAUGACUGCCCUAUGGGUUGUAAACUUCUUUUAUAAAGGAAUAAAGUCGGGUAUGCAUACCCGUUUGCAUGUACUUUAUGAAUAAGGAUCGGCUAACUCCGUGCCAGCAGCCGCGGUAAUACGGAGGAUCCGAGCGUUAUCCGGAUUUAUUGGGUUUAAAGGGAGCGUAGAUGGAUGUUUAAGUCAGUUGUGAAAGUUUGCGGCUCAACCGUAAAAUUGCAGUUGAUACUGGAUGUCUUGAGUGCAGUUGAGGCAGGCGGAAUUCGUGGUGUAGCGGUGAAAUGCUCAGAUAUCACGAAGAACUCCGAUUG